GUCAGCAGGCGCUUAUUUCAGUCAAAUGGGUCAGUCCAUUCACAGACAAGACUUAAGAAAAUAUUACCUUUCUACUUAAAGAUUCCAGGAAUUGCACUUUCUGGGCCCAAAGCCUCCCUGCCUGCCCUCACACCUUUUCUACAGCUGCUGGGUCAGACUGAAGCCUGGGGCCGGCCUACACCUCUGCCUUCGAGUCUUAUCUUCAGUUGCCUGGGCUGCCUUCGGCCGGAGGCCCGCCUACCUGCCCAUGCGCCGUUCUUCAGCAGUCCGGCUGCCCGGCUGCCCGCCAUCAGCAGGCCCACAGCAAGAGUGACGGCCAUAUCGGAGUGGCGAGCAGCAGAGAGAGAGCCUCUCCGAGGCUAAUGGCUGAGAAUUGAAGCCCACCGGGAGAGCGAAGAUAGUCACUGCAAUAAAAGACCCAGCAGACUACAGCGGUUGAAAUGAAUUCUUUCUACAAGAAGAUUUUUCAGAUAUCCACUAUCCAGCUUCCUGAGCAACUAUGGACUGAAACUGCUAAAAACCAUGCAGAGCUUUCCUGUGCCAGACCCUUCCAUCACAUCAUUUCUCUCACGGAGCCAGCCAACUAGGGAUUGUAACUGCUACCAAAAGGUGGGCAGCUUCCUCCACAACACACUCCUGCUGAGAUCUGUCCUGGCACCAGUCUGAAAGCAACAGGACUAACCAACCAUGGUCUGAAGCUGCUGAAACUGUGAGCCCAAAUAAGUCUUUUCUUUUUAAGUUUAUUUAUCUCAGGUAUUUGUUACACCAACAGACCCCUACUACUACACAAGGUGAAAAGCUAUGUAUAUGAGUCAGAGAAUGACAGGACUGGUUUUAUUUUAAAAGUUCAGUUGGUUGCUAUGUGAAGAUGGGGGAAGAGAAAAGACCAAAACCCUAAACAGG
rnacentral:lncRNA from 1 species